rnacentral:lncRNA from 10 species
AGACCAGGAAAGUGAAAGGAAAUGGAUAUCGCUGCUGGAGGCAACGACUAAUUUAAGCAGAGUAGGAGAAAAACUCUUUUUUUUUUUCCUUUGUGCCAGUUCCUUUUACACGACUUCAGAACAUUCUAUGACAACCCAGCGUGCAACUUGGCACUGUCAGAAGAGUCCUGGGAAAGAAAGGAAAUGCGUUUUUCAGAACUUUACUAGGGGUAGUUGAUCCAAAUGGCAUUAUUGGAUGUGGUGGUUUCCGGACACCCACCUGUGACACUGCGGUGACCGGUCUCCUGUCUGGCCUGAAGUGGAUCUGGACCCCACACAGUCCCCAUGUACAGCUGAUACCAGGCUGAAGUGGAUCAGGAGGCUGAGGAACUAAGCCAGUGUCAGGUGGUGCACCAGGCUGCCCAAGUGGAGGCUUAGAUGAACACAGGAUGAUUAUGGAGCAAUACUUGAAGCCCAAAUGAAGCUCUGAACCCGGAGACUUCUCAAAACCUGUCAUCAAUGCUCUAACUCUUCUGUGGCCACCUCCUUCUACUGGAGUUUAGCCAGGUUCCAACUCUAUGGGUAUAUCUCAGUCAUUUAGCAUCUGCUCUAUCUUUGAGGCUGAGUUUCCAGAAGACCUGAUUCAACCAGAAGCAAAAGACAGUAGCCAAGAAGAUGGCAUAGCAUAAGAAUCUUGGAAAUUGAUAAAAACAUCCCAGAGAUAUCCAACAAAAUUAGUAACUAUGUGAAGAGAUUCUGUAAUAUUGGGUCUAUUGGGCUCUGUGGGAAGGUAUUCCCUUUGGAAAUGACUGAAAUGGAAAUUUUGAACCACUUUCAAUGAUACAAGUUUGGGGUUAACAUGGAGAUGGUGCUUCACAGAAGACACCACAUUUCAAUAAUUGUAUUCUUAUCGAAUUGUUUAAAAUUGGUCAGUGACUAAUAUUAAGCCUCUAAGAACAAAAUUCAUUAGGUUUAUUUAGCCUGUUUUUGCAUUACUGCUACAAAAUCCAAUAGUUUAAAUAGCUAACUGAAUACUUUUGAUGUUAAAGAGCAAAAUUUCAUGAAGAUUUUAGAUCAAGAGAGCUACCACUGAGAAAAAACAAUGCAGAUUUGUGGUAAAGUCCCAUGAAUUUGUUGAACUGCCAAGGCUUCUGAUCAUCACUGCUGAAGAACUUCUAAUGGUGACUUCCAUCUCAGCUUUCUCAUUGCCAACUAUUAAGAAUGUAUGGAUUAUCCAGAUGUUGCAACACAGUUGUGUUUUUGGCUUCACCACUCCCUCUGGGCUGUGAUUCUGUUUUUUUUUUCUUUUAUUGUUGAUGUUCUUUGUUUUUAAUAUGAGAAAGAUUUGUGUAUUAUACUUCAGUUUUAGUUUCCUUAAUCACAGACUAGACAAAAGAAAAUUGGCUUGGUUUCCUAUUAGGAAACCACUUAGAAGCCAUUAUCAGAAUCGUAGACCAUCACUGUGAACUAUAUCCAGGUGUUGUCAUGAAAGUAUGACAUCCUAGAGUGGAAAAGCAACCUGGGUUUCCGAGACUGUUUUACUCUUUUAUCUGGAAUGUUGUUUUAGCUGCUAUGGCUCCAACAGGGUGAAC